CUCAGCUUAGCUAUUGUGAUGUAUGAUAGCACAUGGCCCAUGCAUAAUACACAUGUCAGACCUGAACAUCAUCAACCAACAGUUAGUCUCAUGGUCCAGAGUGAAGUCUGAGGUCAAGACACUUUGUUAUUAAGUCACCCCUGCCUAGGCUCUGUCUCCAGAGCCUCAUACACGGAGGUCCUGGCUUCAGCCCUUCAUCACGAGAGGCACAUUUGAGACCUUCGUCUCUCCUGGCCUUAGAUGGAAGAGAACAGCCUUUCUCCCAGCUACUGCAGAGAGGACAGCUUUGCAGGAGUUCGCUCUUCCACCACGUGGACUCCAGGGAUCAAAACCUGAUGGCCAGUGCGGAGCCAUCUUGCUGUCUCCACAGGUGGACUUUCUGAGAACUGUGGGGCCCCUAUUUAAACACGUGUUCAUAAAUACACGUCCCCACGUGCCCCUGCCUGGGAUGGAGUUCCAGGCACACCCAUCCUGAUCACCCCAGCUAGAGGCCUGCUCAGACUCCAUCACCCCACCACCAUCACUGUCCCUAUAGAGAGCAGUCUUGAAGCUCAGAAGCCUGGUCCUCUGCAGCUCUCUGGGAAGCAUUCAGCAAAAAGCUCCCACCACAGAGCAGAGAAAACUUUCAAAUGAACAAAAGUAACAAAGACAAAA